AUAGCUCACUAGUCGAGAGGUCCUGCGCCGAAAAUGUCCGGGGCUGAAACACACUGCCGAAGCUCAGGAAUCUGCGAAUGCAGGUUGGUAGAGGAGCAUUCUUAAAGAGACGAAGCUGUACCGAAAGGAGCAGUGGAUUUUUAAGAAGAGAGAAUGCCGGAAUGAGUAGCGAGAAAGAGGUGAGAAUCCUCUUGGCCGAAUAUCUAAGGUUUCCAGGGUAAAGCUGAUCUGCCCUGGGUAAGUCGGGGCCUAAGGCGAGGUCGAAAGACGUAGUCGAUGGAUAACAGGUUGAAAUUCCUGUACUAUCCUGUAACAGAACUGUGGGGACGCAGACAGAGAGCACAAGCCGGGAAUGGAAAGACCGGUGCAAGCGAGGUAGGAGUACAUCAGGCAAAUCCGGUGUGCAAUCCGAAGACGUGAUGCGGAUCGAAAAGAAGUAGAGAAGUGUGUGAGCUGGCUGCCAAGAAAAGCCGCUAUUGUUUACAGGAUACCCGUACCGUAAACCGACACAGGUGGAUGAGGAGAGAAUCCUAAGGCCGACGGGAGAAGCAUUGUUAAGGAACUCGGCAAAAUGACUCCGUAACUUCGGGAGAAGGAGUGCCAUGCGAAUGGCCGCAGAGAAUUGGCCCAAGCAACUGUUUAGCAAAAACACAGGUCUAUGCGAAACCGAAAGGUGAGGUAUAUGGGCUGACGCCUGCCCGGUGCUGGAAGGUUAAGGGGAGAGGUUAGCGCAAGCGAAGCUUUGAACUUAAGCCCCAGUAAACGGCGGCCGUAACUAUAACGGUCCUAAGGUAGCGAAAUUCCUUGUCGGGUAAGUUCCGACCCGCACGAAAGGCGUAAUGAUUUGAGCGCUGUCUCGACAAUGCAUCCGGUGAAAUUGAAGUACCAGUGAAGAUGCUGGUUACCUGCGCCAGGACGGAAAGACCCCAUGGAGCUUUACUCUAGCUUGAUACUGGGAUUCGAUAUUGCAUGUACAGGAUAGGUGGGAGACUAGGAAGUGGUGACGCCAGUUGCCAUGGAGUCAAUGUUGGGAUACCACCCUUGCAGUAUUGGGUUUCUAACCAGCAGCCGUGAUCCGGCUGGGGGACAAUGUCAGGUGGGGAGUUUGACUGGGGCGGUCGCCUCCGAAAGGG
rnacentral:rRNA from 1 species